rnacentral:tRNA from 1 species
GGGUCCUUAGCUCAGUCUGGUCAGAGCACUCGGCUCUUAACCGAGGGGUCGGGGGUUCGAAUCCCCUAGGACCCG